CUCAUUCAUUCCUUUUCCAAAGACUUGCUGAGCACCUUCUAGGUGCCAGAUGUGGUGCUGGCUCCUGGGGACAUGGGAGUAAACAGGCCAGGCGUGGCCCUGAACCAUCAAAUAGACAACCACAGAAAUAACAACAACAAAGACAAAACCGGGCCCUUCCACACAGUAGCUGGAACACAAAGGAAGAUCAGCCAAGCCUCAACAUAAUCUCAUAAAAAUUCUUCAAAUAUCCCAUUGUUAUGGAUUCAUACAUCAGGAAAGCAGAUGCCAAGAACCUGAACACCUUCUACUGGUAACAUAUAUUUUGGCAAGCCAGCCUGGAGACAAGACCACUAUGGGCAACUUCCUGUCUAUUCUACCUGGUGUCACUGUGGACAACUUCCUAUCUAUUCCACUCGAUUCACCGCUUGGCUACAUCCUCCACCAUUGGGAUGAAUUUGACCCUAACAAUCUAAAGAAAAGGCAUAUGAUUUUUUACUGCAA
rnacentral:lncRNA from 1 species